UGGGGAAUAUUGCACAAUGGGGGAAACCCUGAUGCAGCGACGCCGCGUGAAGGAAGAAGUAUUUCGGUAUGUAAACUUCUAUCAGCAGGGAAGAAGAUGACGGUACCUGACUAAGAAGCUCCGGCUAAAUACGUGCCAGCAGCCGCGGUAAUACGUAUGGAGCAAGCGUUAUCCGGAUUUACUGGGUGUAAAGGGAGCGUAGGCGGCAUGGCAAGUCAGAUGUGAAAGCCCGGGGCUCAACCGCGGGACUGCAUUUGAAACUGUUAAGCUGGAGUACCGGAGAGGUAAGUGGAAUUCCUAGUGUAGCGGUGAAAUGCGUAGAUAUUAGGAGGAACACCAGUGGCGAAGGCGGCUUACUGGACGGUAACUGACGCUGAGGCUCGAAAGCGUGGGGAGCAAACAGG
rnacentral:rRNA from 1 species